GCCCCGGUGACGGAAUCGGUAGACGUAGCGGACUUAAAAUUCGCGGCCGAAAGGCGUGCCGGUUCGAGUCCGGCCCGGGGCACCA
rnacentral:tRNA from 1 species